AUGAGGAUCAUCACACACGUGUCUCUGUCAGUCACUGAAUCAAUGAGUUUGAUUGUGCAGGGCAGGGGGUCCUCCAGGACAGGCGUCACUUGUCCUAAAGUGAGCGUCCUGCUGCCCUCCAGUGCAGAGAUCUCCUCAAAGAAGACAGCGACGCUGGUGUGUGUGGCCAGCGAGGGCUUCCCGUCAGACUGGAGCCUGAGCUGGAAGGCGGACGGGAGCAGCAGGUCUCAGGAGAGCAGCGCUGGGCUCCUGGAGAAGGACGGUCUGUACAGCUGGAGCAGCAGCCUGACUCUCUCUGAGCAGGAGUGGAUGGAGAGCGUCUCAGUGAGCUGUGAGGCCACACGGAGCGGCCAGCCUGCGCUCACUGGACACGUGACGAGACAGCAGUGUUCAGAGUAGAUCUGCUGCUCUUCUCACUCAUGUCUCACAUGGAGACUAACAGCACAUGAGCGACUCCUUCAUUCUCCACAA